UGGCGAUGAGGAGACGCCUACCGUACUGAUCUACGGUGAUGGUUCUAUACGCUAUUCUGAGCCGGCC
ensembl:snoRNA Gm24016 predicted gene, 24016